ensembl:misc_RNA Metazoa_SRP Metazoan signal recognition particle RNA
GCUGGGCAUGGUGUUGGGUGCCUGUAAUCCUAGUUACUCAGGAGGCUGAGGCAGGAGAAUUGCUUGAACCCAGGAGGUGGAGGUUGUGAUGAGUUGAAAUCAUGCCACUGCACUCCAGCCUAGGUGAUGGAGCAAGACUCCGUCUCAAAAAAAAGGAUCGGAUUUUUGUUUUUUUUUUUUUUGACAGAGUUUCACUGUUGUCCAGGCUGGAGUGCAGUGGCACGAUUUCGGCUCACUGCAACCUCCGCCGCCCGGGUUCAAGCAAUUCUCCUGGCUCAG